rnacentral:rRNA from 1 species
CACUCCUACGGGAGGCAGCAGUGGGGAAUAUUGGACAAUGGGCGCAAGCCUGAUCCAGCCAUGCCGCGUGAGUGAUGAAGGCCCUAGGGUUGUAAAGCUCUUUCACCGGUGAAGAUAAUGACGGUAACCGGAGAAGAAGCCCGGCUAACUUCGUGCCAGCAGCCGCGGUAAUACGAAGGGGGCUAGCGUUGUUCGGAUUUACUGGGCGUAAAGCGCACGUAGGCGGACUAUUAAGUCAGGGGUGAAAUCCCGGGGCUCAACCCCGGAACUGCCUUUGAUACUGGUAGUCUUGAGUUCGAGAGAGGUGAGUGGAAUUCCGAGUGUAGAGGUGAAAUUCGUAGAUAUUCGGAGGAACACCAGUGGCGAAGGCGGCUCACUGGCUCGAUACUGACGCUGAGGUGCGAAAGCGUGGGGAGCAAACAGGAUUAGAAACCCCAGUAGUCCCA